UACGGAGGAUCCAAGCGUUAUCCGGAUUUAUUGGGUUUAAAGGGUGCGUAGGCGGCCUAUUAAGUCAGGGGUGAAAGACGGUAGCUUAACUAUCGCAGUGCCUUUGAUACUGAUGGGCUUGAAUGAACUAGAGGUAGGCGGAAUGUGACAAGUAGCGGUGAAAUGCAUAGAUAUGUCACAGAACACCAAUGCGAAGGCAGCUUACUAUGGUUUAUGACGCUGAGGCACGAAAGCGUGGGGAUCAAACAGG
rnacentral:rRNA from 1 species